CUUGUUCUUUAAAUAGGGACUUGUAUCAACGGCACUACGAAGGCUAUACUGUCUCCUUUUUCUAAUCAGUGAAACUGAUCUCCCCGUGAAGAAGCGGGGAUUAAAGUAUAAGACGAGAAGACCCCAUGGAGCUUUAAACUCACCAUGCACCUCUGUGCUCCUACGCCCUUAAACACAAUAGGUCUGCAUGUUAGUUUUAGGUUGGGGUGACCACGGAGUAUAACUUAACCUCCAUAGCAAAUGGGCUAAUACCCUUAUCCACGAGACACAACUCUAAGAAUUAUUAAACUAAUGCUUACGACCCGAUAUUCGAUCAAUGAACUAAGUUACCCUGGGGAUAACAGCGCAAUCUACUUCAAGAGCCCAUAUCGACAAGUAG
rnacentral:rRNA from 1 species